rnacentral:rRNA from 1 species
GAUGAACGCUAGCUACAGGCUUAACACAUGCAAGUCGAGGGGAAACGAUAUUGGAAGCUUGCUUCCGAUAGGCGUCGACCGGCGCACGGGUGAGUAACGCGUAUCCAACCUGCCCAUCACUUGGGGAUAACCUUGCGAAAGUAAGACUAAUACCCAAUGACGUCCAUAGAAGACAUCUGAAAUGGAUUAAAGAUUUAUCGGUGAUGGAUGGGGGUGCGUCUGAUUAGCUUGUUGGCGGGGUAACGGCCCACCAAGGCGACGAUCAGUAGGGGUUCUGAGAGGAAGGUCCCCCACAUUGGAACGGAGAGCCGGUCCAAACUCCUACGGGAGGCAGCAGUGAGGAAGAUUGGUCAAUGGGCGAGAGCCUGAACCAGCCAAGUAGCGUGCAGGAUGACGGCCCUAUGGGUUGUAAACUGCUUUUAUAAGGGAAUAAAGUGAGUCUCGUGAGACUUUUUGCAUGUACCUUAUGAAUAAGGACCGGCUAAUUCCGUGCCAGCCGCCGCGGUAAUAC